rnacentral:rRNA from 1 species
GACGAACGCUGGCGGCGUGCUUAACACAUGCAAGUCGAACGGAAAGGCCCUGCUUUUGUGGGGUGCUCGAGUGGCGAACGGGUGCGUAACACGUGAGUAACCUGCCCUUGACUUUGGGAUAACUUCAGGAAACUGGGGCUAAUACCGGAUAGGAGCUCCUGCUGCAUGGUGGGGGUUGGAACGUUUCGGCGGUUGGGGAUGGACUCGCGGCUUAUCAGCUUGUUGGUGGGGUAGUGGCUUACCAAGGCUUUGACGGGUAGCCGGCCUGAGAGGGUGACCGGCCACAUUGGGACUGAGAUACGGCCCAGACUCCUACGGGAGGCAGCAGUGGGGAAUAUUGCACAAUGGGCGGAAGCCUGAUGCAGCAACGCCGCGUGCGGGAUGACGGCCUUCGGGUUGUAAACCGCUUUCGCCUGUGACGAAGCGUGAGUGACGGUAAUGGGUAAAGAAGCACCGGCUAACUACGUG